UUGAGGUUCUAUAUAGAACCGUUGGGUUCUAUACUUGGCCAAUAGAACCUUUUACCAAAAAAAGGGUUCCAUAUAGAACCCUUGGAAGGCAAAGAACCAUUUUUAUUAAAAUGGUUCUAUAAUUCACGUUUUCUGACUGAAGUGUAAACUAAAGAUUACACAAUAAUUGCAGACCUACACAACUCAUUUACAAACCUACACAACUCAUUCACAAACCUUUUUGUGUCAAUAGGCUGUGGUCAAAAAAAGAGAGAGUCAACAAAUAGGCUAUUAAUAUUUAGUGUAUGAUUUAUUUCCUGUGAGCUUUUUUAUGCAAGUUUGUACAUUAGCAUGAAACUUACAGUGCAGUUUGCGUUUCUGGUGAAUUAUCAGGUGUUUUCUUUAUUUUGUACAUUCUAUAUUGUCAAUGUUUGUUUAAUUUAACCUGAAGGGGCAUUAAAAACAAAUAAUCGCAAAAGUGCCCUCUGGUGGCGUAUAUUUGCGUUGCACCAGAAGAUGAGCCUCGUGACGUGACAGUUUUUUUUCAAACUGAGGUGAGGAGUUCGGACUCCGGACCGGCAUUUCUGCUUGUUUGUACCCUGUCCAUGAGAUAACCAUGGUUAAUAAAUGGUCAGACACGUCACUGGCUUUUAAAUAUAAACCCCAUUGAUGCAAAAAGAUGCUGCAUGGAAUGACAAUGAGGUUUGGAACAGACUUGGUGAAGAACAUGGAAACAUCUCUAAAUAAAAUGGCGCCAAACAUCAUCAGGAGUGCAAAAGAAGGAAGUAAAAAACAUCUCUACGCCAAUCUCAUUGGAGAGGAAACCACAGAAGGUCUGGUGAGGAAUGCUGCACUUCUGUUAUUGCAAGCAUUAUUUCAAGAAAAUCCCAGCUUCCUUUACUGUGUAAAUAGUGAACCCAAAGGUCCCACACCAACCAUAGUGUUCAACGGCUCUCCUGAUCUUCUCAAAUCUGAAAGUAUCAACUGUAUAAUGGACAAUGUGAACUUAAUAUGUGGAAGACAUUGACAUCACAGGCUGUGGAAUGACUGUGUCACAGGUCGGAGAAGCGGACCGCCCCUGUCGCGGAUCACGCUCCUCCUAGUUCCACCUUGAGGAGGUCCCAAAGCACCCCAAUGACCAGACAAACCAGAGAUAAGUAAAAUAUAAAAAUAGAAACUUUAUUUAAAUUAUCUAAAACUAAAGUGGGGAAUGGGAAAGGGAAUCUAAAAAUCUCGCUUCUCGCCCUCAGGGGGAGUAUUAAGGGGCCAGGGACGUAGGAUUUCCACGUGACUCCACCUCGAACACCGCUACAGAGCGUAUCUGGCUGGGUUGGGCACACACCGUCGCGGCGGCCCCUGAUGGCAUCCACAAAGGUCCAAGACCCUCCUAAGCUCCCAGCCGUAGCAGAACUACGUAUUUCAGCACCCGAACGACUAACAACCCAGCCGGCAUCUGCAGCGUAUAUCCAACGCGAUCAAACUUCACUCUGACAAUUAACUUCCUAUACACAACCACGCCGUCCUUUCGCCCGGACCAGCCCCCCACUCUUUCCGCCCGCUACCUAGCGGUCGCCGGAUCAGCAGAGCCUGCGGACUCUUCGGAGGCUGGUCUUCGUUGUGCUGCCCAAGGCGGAAGUUUACUUCCAGUAAAUUCUACCUUCUCUCUUUAUAUCCCCAACCAUCGCUCGCCACGUCACUCACACAGCUGUGCCUUGUUUCAGCGAGUGCGGGGAUUCCCGGGGAACCCGGAAGUGCCGGUGUCUGUACAAACCGGUCCAGGCGGAACCUCUUCACUCUCCUUUUGGUUCCGCCCUGCAUAGUCACUCUGUGACAACUGUUUGUGUUUUUUUUUCUCCUCAAUGUUCAAUACCCUUUUGCCAUUAAGCACACAGUGACUUUAAUUUAUAAAAUAUGCUUAAGUUUUAAUACCUGUACAAAACAAAUGUACAAUCAACUUGUGUAAAUUGUCAUUCUAUUUAAUAGAUUGUUCAUGAAUUGUCUUUAAAUGCAUUGUGAUUUCGGUAACACUUUACAAUAAGGUUCAUUAGUUAACAUUAGUUAAUGUAUUAACUAACUUGAACAAACCAUGAGCAAUACAUUUGUUACAGUAUUUAUUCAUCUUUGUUAAUGUUAGUUAAUUCAAAUUUAAGCUUUAAUUGCUUGUUCAUGUUAGUUCAGAG